CCACCCACCGUCCCUCCCUCCCUUUCCAUAACCAUUCAAAAAUUUUCUUAGGUUUGAAUCUAAAUUUUUUCUCUUAAAAUUGGUUCAUCCCUAAUGAUUUUUUAGCUUUUCAAACAUCGAAUUUUUCUUCAAUUUUAAAGAAAAUAAAAAAUUUCUUCAUCAUUUUAUUCAUUGUUCUUAAAUUUUGCAUUCUCGAAUUAGCUCCAUAGCUUGUGAGUUUCGUGAAAUUGAGGUGAGAUUCUGACUUAUUAUUAUUAAACUAAUGUUGUUGCUUUCCUAAUUUGAGAUCUAAAUGAUUGUGUUGAGUUGCUUGAGAUUUAAAGCUUUUAAAUCUAAACUUUGAUGAAAAAUGGUGAAAUUUGAUUUAUUGAGUAAAUUGGUUGAUUCAAAGUGAUUUUUAACUUAUUUUCGAUUAAUCAAAAGGUUUUUUAAGCCAAUUUUAAAGAUCAUCAAGGAAUUUCAAUGAAUUAGAUGUUUUCCUUCUUUUACAUGUUCAUACAAGCUUGAUUUUUUGGAAAAGUUAAAUUCGAGUUAAUUGAUGAAAUUAAUGGCUUAGAUCCAUAAUAAUAUGAUAAUUAGGAUGUUAGGAAACAUGUUUAAGGGUUAGGAUCAAAGAUCGAAUGAGGAAAUCACUUGUUUCAACAAAACAAGUUAGUUUUCGUGUAUUGAGAAAGAUAAACUUAGAGCUACGAUUUUGUUGCGGUUUGAUUGUGUUUAUGGUUGUUCAUAAUAUGUUUAUAAUGUGUUUAAUAUGUAUACAAAGUUUCAAAUCAAUCGAGAGCAUCUUCAAGCAAGGAUAAAGGCAAACAAAAGCUUAUUUGAGCUUUUGGCAUUGAAGUGAAAGCUUCAAAGUGAGUGAUCUGAUAUGCUGCAAUUAUGCACAAUUCAAUGUGUUAAAGGGGAGCUUAGGCACUAAUCACCUAUCCUAAGUUCCAAGAGUAAAUGAUUUUUCCUUGAGCUGUAAUAUUUUGCAAAUGAUGAUGAUUUAUGAUAAGAUAUGAAUAUGAUAUGUUAAAUAAAUGGAUGUAAAUAUGUAAGAAUAUGCUUAUUGAUCUGUUGGUUUAAUGCACACAUCUGAUAUGAAAGUGUAUGUGGCUUAAAGAAUAAAGUGAUAGCACUUGAAAGUGUAUAAUAUAUGAAUGUGAUAAGUUAUAUGAUCAUGAUGAACAUGAUAUGUGAAAGUGUGCAUAAACCAUAAAAUAAGUGUGUGCAUAAGUGAAUAUAUUGGUAUUGUGAUCUCUUAAAACCAUUGGAUAUUAUUGGCACACCAUAGGAUUGUGAGUAUUCACCAUUAUUGUGCUUAUGUGUGAGGGCAUUGAGGCCCCGGGACUAGUUUAGGGAGAUAAGGGAAUGUUUUCAUUCAACAGGACUAGUUGAUGUGUUUGGAGUGUGUUUAGCUUCAUGCUACACUUUUAUGGGACUGGUAUGGACUUUAUGAGUCAUAAGGUGUGUUAAGAGAUCUGCUUAUCCAAUGCAUAUGUGUUUAUAUAUGUUUUAUAAUCAUAAUAUACCAAUAUAUUAACAUGAAUUGCUAUGAUACAUGUUUGAUGUAAUACCUUGAGUAAACGAUCUAGUAUGCUUUCAAUUAACCUUGAUAUUGUAAAUCUUUGUAGCAAUCUUCGAGCACUCAUUGAGCUUGAAAAAGCUCACGCUCUCUUAUGUAUAUCUUGCAAAAAAUAGCUUGAGUGAGGAGGAGAAGUGGGCAAGCUUGUGAUUUAAAGCUAGGCAAAAAUACCUUGAGUAGGUGUUGUGUUUUCUACUUAUAAGGAAGGCAAUGUGGGACCAUAACUGAGGGUUUUAGACUUUACAAAUUGCUAGUUGUAAUGGCCUUUUUAAGGACAAUUUUAAGGAUUUUAUAUCUAGUUUAUGGUUGGUUGUUUGAAUGUGCUUGAAUAUGCAUGACAUGUUUGUUGAAAAUGCAUGAUGAAUGGUAUGUGUAUCUACUAGUGAAAUGUUGUUAUAGGUGCUCAAAUGGUAGGCUGAACAUUUGGACAAGUUUUAAAUGUCAUAUUGAUAUGAAAUGAACCUAUUUUGCACUUAGAAAUGCAUAACCUGCGAAUUUGACAUGUUAGGUAAUUGAAUAGUGACUUUAGGAUUGCGUGCUAGUAUAAAUAUUUACUUGAGAUGUUAAAGUAUGUUAAUGAAUGAUCUAGAGUAAUUGAGCAUGAUUUAUAUGAUCUAUGUAUGUCAUAUGAUAUGUUAGAAUAGGGGAAUUGGCAUGAAAACACGAAAUGGUAAGUGUGGUAGUGUUUAAACUUGAAAAAUGUAAAUUUUGGUCUAAAAUUACAGCUUUCGUCUCGACCUAGAGUCGUCGUCGUGACGUUUUUUAUCGUGUCAUCUUGAAGAGGGACCCCUUCCAAAGCUCGUCCCAAUGUGUUGCAUCACGUCGUCUCGAUGCAGCGCCUAGCUUGUUCAAGGCAUGUUUUCACAGCUUUGCAAUAUAAUUCUUAGAUUUUUGGUGUUGCAAUUAGAGUCCAAAACAUUUACAAAAUACUUUGAAAAUUUGCAUGAGUGAGUUUGUAUGCUUAAUUUCGUAAAUAAAUUUUUUAUUUUAUAAAAAAAAUUCUUGAAAUUUUGAUAACUUUAUGGUUUAGUCC
rnacentral:lncRNA from 1 species